AACCAGCGCAGACUGGCAUGAUCCAGCCAUCUCUGGGCGAGUAUCUCCUUGAGUGCCUCACUCUCAAGCAUGACUAGGCCU
rnacentral:pre_miRNA from 1 species